rnacentral:rRNA from 1 species
UACGUAGGAUGCAAGCGUUGUCCGGAAUUAUUGGGCGUAAAGAGCGCGCAGGCGGCCCAUCAAGUCAGAUGUGAAAUAACCAGGCUUAACCUGGUGGGGUCAUUUGAAACUGGCGGGCUAGAGUCCAGCAGAGGAUAGCGGAAUUCCCGGUGUAGUGGUGAAAUGCGUAGAUAUCGGGAAGAACACCCGUGGCGAAGGCGGCUCUCUGGGACGGUACUGACGCUGAGACGCGAAAGCGUGGGGAGCGAACAGG